CCUCUCUCUUCCAGGACUUUAUGCUAUUACCUCCUGUUUGAACAUCAGGUAAUCUACCGCCCUCUCUUCCAGGACCUUAGGCUAUUAACUCCUAUUUGGACCUCAGGUAAUCUACAACACCUUUGUCUUCCAGGAACUUAUGCUAUUACCUCCUAUUUGGACAUCAGGUAAUCUAGUGCCCUCUCUCUUUCAUGCCCUUAGGCCAUUUCCUCCUAUUUGGACAUCAGGUAAUCUACAACACCUUUGUCUCCCAGGACCUUAUGCUAUUACCUCCUAUUUGGACAUCACAUAAGCUACAACACCUUUGUCUUCGAGGACCUUAUGCUAUUACCUCCUAUUUGGACAUCAGGUAAUCUAACAACACCUUUUUCUUCCAGGACCUUAUGCUAUUACCUCCUAUUUGGACAUCAGGUAAUCUACAACACCUUUGUCUUUGAGGACCUUAUGCUAUUACCUCCUAUUUGGACAUCAGGUAAUCUACAACACCUUUGUCUUCCAGGACCUUAUGCUAUUACCUCCCAUUUGCACAUCAGGUCAUCUACAACACGUCUAUCUUCCAGGACCUUAUGGGAUUACCUCCUACUUGGACAUCAGAUAAUCUACAACCCUCUCUCUUGCAGGACCUUACGCUAUUACCUCCUAUUGGAGAUCGGGUUAUCUAUAACCCUCUCUCUUCCAGGACCAUAGGCUAUUACUUCCUAUUUGGACAUCAGGUAAUCUACAGCCUUCUCUCUACCAGCACCUUAUGCUAUUACCUCCUAUUUGGACAUCACAUAAUCUAUAACCCUCUCUUCCAGGAUCUUAUGCUAUUACCUCCUAUUUGGACAUCAGGUAAUAUAACAACACCUUUGUCUUCCAGGACUUUAUGCUAUUCCCUCCUCUUUGGACAUCAGGCAAUCUACAACACCUUUGUCUUCCAAGACCUUAUACUAUUACCUCCUAUUUGGACAUCGGGUAAUUUACAACACCUUUGUCUUCCAGGACCUUAUGCUAUUACCUCCUAUUUGGACAUCAGGUAAUCUACAACACCUUUGUCUUCCAGGACCUUAUGGUAUUACCUCCUAUUUGGACAUCAGGUAAUCUACAAUGCUCUCUCUUCCAUGACCUUAUGUUAUUUCCUCCUAUUUGGACAUCAGGUAAUCUACAACCCUCUCUCUUCCAUGACCUUAUGCUAUUUCCUCCUAUUUGGAUAUCAGGUAAUCUACAACACCUUUGUCUCCCAGCACCUUAUGCUAUUACCUCCUAUUUAGAUAUCAGGUAAUGUACAACACCUUUCCCUGAAAAAUACACCGUGGGUAGAAUGUGCCGGUAACACACGGAAUGAUUCCCUAUCUUGCAGUUUAUCUCACUAAUUGGGAUGAUUUCCUUAUCUUUUUACCCACUUGGCUAGAAGCUCUUCAUGAUUACACAAUGACUUGUUCAUCAUUGUAUCACGGAAUCUAACAAAUACACGUUCAAUAAAUAUUAGAUUAAUCAAUGAAUGUCCAUAGCUACAUUUUAUUUCACUGUUAUGAACUGUGAAAACCUUAGCAAAUACAGUUGCUAUCUUCAUCGUGGACACUGCAUGUAGAGAAUGUAGGUCAC
rnacentral:lncRNA from 1 species